GGCUGGCUGGGCGGAGCACUCAGACCAUGGCGACCCGAGCGAAACGCCGGCGGCUCCCGAAAGCCCUUGGUCCGCCCGCCCUCAGCCAGCUCUCCGGGGCGGAGCCUCGUCAUGGAGCUCACUUAUCACAGGUGGCGGGAGCAGCGGGCGUCGGAGGUGCGGAGCCGGGGCCCGAGCCCGAGCCCGAGCCCGAACCCGAGCCGGUGGCCGGCUUCCUGAGCUGGUGCGGGCGGGUGGGGCUGGAGCUGAGUCCUAAGGUGGCGGUGACCCGGCAGGGCACGGUGGCCGGCUACGGCAUGGUGGCCCGGGAGAGCUUGCAGCCCGGGGAGCUGCUGUUCGCGGUACCGAGGGCCGCGCUCCUGUCGCAGCACACUUGCUCAAUCCGAGGCCUGCUGGAGCGAGAGCGAAGUGCGCUGCAGAGCCAGUCGGGCUGGGUGCCACUGCUGCUGGCGCUGCUCCACGAGCUGCAGGCCUCGGCCUCUCCCUGGGGCCCCUACUUUGCGCUCUGGCCAGAGCUGGGCCGCUUGGAGCAUCCUAUGUUCUGGCCAGAGGAGGAGCGUCGGCGCCUGCUGCAGGGCACAGGUGUACCUGAGGCGGUGGAGAAGGACUUGGCUAACAUCUGCACCGAGUACCACAACAUCGUGCUGCCCUUCAUGGAAGCCCACCCUGAUCUCUUCAGCUCCAGGGUUCGCUCCCUGGAACUCUACCAGCAGCUUGUGGCCCUUGUGAUGGCCUACAGCUUUCAGGAACCACUGGAAGAAGAGGAGGAUGAAAAGGAGCCAAACUCCCCUUUGAUGGUGCCAGCUGCAGACAUACUAAACCACUUGGCCAAUCACAAUGCCAAUCUAGAAUACUCUACAAAUUAUCUUCGGAUGGUGGCCACUCAGCCCAUUCCUAAAGGCCAUGAGAUUUUCAACACUUACGGACAAAUGGCUAACUGGCAAUUGAUUCAUAUGUAUGGUUUUGUUGAGCCAUAUCCUGACAACACAGAUGACACAGCUGACAUUCAGAUGGUGACAGUUCGAGAAGCAGCAUUACAGAGAACAAAAGGUGAAGCUGAAAGGCAGGUAUUGCAUGAGCGCUGGGAUUUCUUAUGCAAACUGGAGAUGGUAGGGGAAGAGGGAGCCUUUGUGAUUGGGCAGAAGGAGGUGCUGACAAAAGAGGAACUGACCGCCACCCUAAAGGUACUGUGUAUGUCUGCUGAAGAGUUCAGAGAGUUUAAAGAUCAGGAUGAAUGGGGAGAUGAUCAAAGGGAAGAGGACAGCCUGACAAUCACAAACAUCCCCAAGCUCAAAGCAUCCUGGAGACAGCUUCUUCGAGACAGUGUUCUGUUGACCCUACAAACCUAUGCCACAGACUUAAAAACUGAUCAAGAUUUACUCAGUAAUAAGGAGGUCUAUGCCAGACUCAGCUGGAGGGAGCAGCAGGCUUUACAGGUUCGCUAUGGUCAGAAGAUGAUCUUACAUCAGUUGUUGGGAUUGACAAGUUAGGAGCUCCUUGUUGCCUGAAGGAACAGCAGUAACAACUUCAUUCUAAACCAAUAUUCACUGAUGCUUGGAAAGAGCUACUUUAUCAGCAGCCUGAAGUUCCGUGUAGAUGACGCAGCUCUCCCUUCAGGGAAUAAAUGUUAAGACACCACAAGGACUUUCAAGUCCCCGCUCAUAAGUAAGAUUUCAACUAUUUAAUUUUGAACCAGUUUGUCUUCUGUGGCCAUAAAACUUUGAUCAUCAAGGUAUAAAUUAUAUGUGGGAUGAUUUAAAUAUAUAUCUACUAUAUAUCUACUCAUUUUCUUUUAAAAGUAUAAAAACAAAAACACCCAAGGGAAAAGAAUAGUAAACAUGGACAUUUUUGUAAUUCAGUCUUAACCACCCAAAAAAAAAAAAAAAUCCAUCAGUCUUUCACUGUUGAAAAGAAAAACACUGUACAAAAUGAUGUGGUGGUUUUAAACAUGCAAGCUUAGUGGUGGAAAAGGUCUGUCAUUUGUCAGGAAACUGGUAUGUCCUGUGGCCCUAGUCUUUACAAAGCUGAACUGUCCACUUUUCCUCUCACCUCCAGCACUAGGCUCCUGCUAUUGAGAAAGGCACAGUGGAUUCACACGUGUCACGACUUCAGUGUUUAACUACGGCAUGUAUACACGUUCAAGUGGGGGAACUGAAAGCCCAGGUAUUAAAAGGUUACAAAAUAAAACACAGAGACCAAUAUACUUACAAAACAUUCAGUAUCUUUACAAAAAGGGCUGUAUUGGUCCUUUUGACUUUGCUGUUCAGCUUACCAUGUGUGGUCUUUCAGUAGGGUAAUGAGAUAGGACAGUUGAAAAGAUUUGAGUUGAAGACUUUUCCCCACAAUUCAUAAGUAUUGGAAGAGGGUUAGGGAGAGCUUUAGGCCUAAUCUCAUAGGGCCAAAGUGUCUUGUUUUCCAACAGGAAGGAGAAGCUGGUACAACUGUUGAUCUCUGGACAGUCAGCUUUAGAAAUGACUCUGAGGUGAGGCAAAACAAAAACCCAUGGGUUCUUAGUCAGUCAAGAACCCUUCUUUUGUUCCCUGACAUGUUCAAUUCUAAGACAUGCAUAAUAACUUAAGAGAUUUUCAGGCUCCCUGUGCUUUUUUAAAAAUAAGUUACAUAAUACUUAAACUGGCCGUUGCUAUUCUUUGGGAAACCAGGAAUGUCAGAAGUGGAGCUAUGUCCUCAGACAAAUGCAUGAAAUCAGCUGCCUCUUUAUUACAAGGUACUAGUUUAUGUACUUGCCUUGGACACAUUUUGCACAAACCCAAGAAGUUCCAGACAAAGGUUUUCUUUUUCAUAUAUUUACACAAGUUCAAAAUGAUAUUCACAGCAUCUUCUAAAUUUUGGCCAAGAGUCAAAAAAAUGCAUUUAAACUUUGGAACGUGCCCAUAUAGACAGGAGGCUGACCCCAAUAGUAUUUGGGCCAGAAACCCAAGAGCCAGGGCUGGGAGUCAGGAAGAGCUGAAAGAAUUCUUCAGUCAGUUUACAAACUUGGUGCAAUGGGAUCUCCAGGCUGACACA